rnacentral:rRNA from 1 species
AACGAACGCUGGCGGCAUGCCUAAUACAUGCAAGUCGAACGAGAUCUUCGGAUCUAGUGGCGCACGGGUGCGUAACGCGUGGGAAUCUGCCCUUGGGUUCGGAAUAACUUCGGGAAACUGAAGCUAAUACCGGAUGAUGACGUAAGUCCAAAGAUUUAUCGCCCAAGGAUGAGCCCGCGUAGGAUUAGCUAGUUGGUGGGGUAAAGGCCCACCAAGGCGACGAUCCUUAGCUGGUCUGAGAGGAUGAUCAGCCACUCUGGGACUGAGACACGGCCCAGACUCCUACGGGAGGCAGCAGUAGGGAAUAUUGGACAAUGGGGGAGACCCUGAUCCAGCAAUGCCGCGUGAGCGAUGAAGGCCUUAGGGUUGUAAAGCUCUUUUACCCGAGAUGAUAAUGACAGUAUCGGGAGAAUAAGCCCCGGCUAACUCCGCGCCAGCAGCCGCCGUAA